CGCGCCCCGCUGCCGCUGGGCCGGGCAGGGCGGCGGCGGCCGCUCCGCUGCCAAGGCGGAGCAGUGCGGGCACGGCGUCAGGAAUGGCUCCGGCAGCGACCGGUGGGAUCCUGCCGACUGCGCCAUCGCUGGGCCUGACGGGUGACUGGCUGGGCAGCAGCUCCGCUCUCGAUGGAGAGGUUCCCGGGGUUUUGUCAAGCCAUGGCUUACAGACAACUACUUUGACAACUAAAACGGAUGGCAGUGAUGGCAAGGCUGAACACCUAGAGUAUAUUGCCUUUGCUUUGGUUCCUGUUUUCUUCAUCAUGGGUCUCUUGGGGAUCCUUAUCUGCCAUGUCCUUAAGAAAAAAGGAUAUCGUUGUACAACAGAGGCUGAAGAAGUAGAAGAAGAAAAACUUGAUGAAAAAAUAGAAAUGAAUGAAUCUAUGCAUGAGAAUAGUGACACUGUGGGACAAAUUGUUAACUACAUCAUGAAAAAUGAAGCAAAUGCUGAUGUGUUAAAGGCCAUGGUAGCAGAUAGCAGUGUCUUUGAACCUGAAAGCCCAUUAUCUCCUACCUCUCCUGAGAGUCCAGUGAGUCCGGGGACUCCUUUGUCACCGGGUGUUGUUCCGUUCAGACACAGCUGCAAAGGCCAUCACUUCCAUACUGUUGGAGGAGUGGUAGAAAAGGAUGUUUGUACUCGCUGUAGUCACAAACGAUGGCACCUUAUAAAACCAGCUCAAAAAUCUAAAGAGAACAGAAGAAGUCGUAUUGGAGAAGUUACAGUCCUUUCUGUGGGAAGAUUUCGAGUCACCAAAGUGGAUCACAAGUCAAACUCCAAAGAACGGAAAAGCUUGAUGUCUGUUACUGGCGUGGAGAGUGUCAAUGGUGAGAUGCCUGCCACACCUGCGAAACAGGAAGUGAGUGAAGCACCUGCCUCACCUGUGAAACAGGAAAUGCAAGAGAGGAGAAGCUCGGAGUAAAAUGCAGAUCUGUGGAGCUUUGACUAAUGGCAAUGGAGAGACAUGAAACUCUGGUCUCACAGGGAUCUAACUAAGCCAGGCGGUUGGGGUUUUCUUGUGGAACUUUUAUAAGAAGAUUGUCUGCAAGCACUUUGGAGAAAAUCGAAAACUUGCAAGAGAUGCACACUAUUUAAGGAAAUGUAUUUAUGGCAGUGUAGGAUUUUACAAGUUCUGUGAUGUCAUUCUUGCAAGGUUAAAUACUUCAUGGUUUUUGACCAGUAAAAUAGUAAGAUUUAGGCACUUAAAUACUGUUGAACUGUGUGGACAUCAUAACGAAUGGCUUCAUCUUGGAAAGAAAACAAACAUACAAGUUUUUGGACAGGAAAGGUAAAAGCUUUAUCAAGUCUUAAACUUUUUUUGUACUUAGACAAGCAUUUUUAAUGAGCUCAAUGUCAAGAGUAAUACAGUUACGUCGUGGAUAAACUGCAUUCACCCCAGUGGUCCAUCUGGAUUUUUCUCUGUUCUGCCCACUCCAGAAUUGACAAGUGUUUGCUGAAGAUAAAAGCCAGCCUUUGAAAGAUGAAAAUAUUCUUUUAAUCUGUUUGUACUUGUUUGUAGUCAAGUAAAACAUACAAGGAAAUAAUUAUGUCAGCCAAAUCUCCAUAUGUGCCUUUAGUACAUAAGACCUCGAACUCUAUGCAGGGUACUUCACAGUAGAGACUGGUUCAAUUAUAUGCAGAUUAAAUUAAAUUAAAUUGUUGUUCCCCAGACCCAUACCUCUGCCUUACUACUUAACAUAGGCUGAAGAGCAUCUUUUCCUAUGCAGUUGGAUGAGCUCUUGGUGAGGUUACUUUCCUCAAGGCCUUUUGUUCUCCUGUUUUCUUGUAACUGCUCACUCGUAUUUGAAGAGUGCCUAAUAGUUUUGCUUUUCUUUUUUUGUUCUUACCCACAGGUUCCUUAUUAAGCUAAGGCAACAUAUUUCAACCCUUAGAUAAGGAUAUGGAAUAUUUGGCAUUAAAAAAUUUAUGGAAUAUAUACUAAAGUGCUUCAGAGUGGCUUUAUUGGACUGAGGGUAGCUGUAUUCAUUGGCACCGAAAUCUUAACCCACUGUUACUCCCUUCAUAUUUUAAGUGUGACUUAAGGCUAAAAUUACCAUGAUAUUUGAUGUUAAUUCUUUGUAUCUACUUACGAUCUCUGCUUUGUCCUGUUACUUGUUUUGGGGAGGGAAAUCUCUGUAAUACUUCAGCAAACUUUUCUGUGUAAUAGAAACUGAAAAAGAUCAAUUGUUCUGAGUGCCUCAGAAUAUAAGCUCUAAUGUAAUGCAUUUUAGUAGAGAUUGCACUAUAUUCUGAGAACUGUAACUUAGUCUACUUUAUGAACUCAAUGAAAAUAAGUGUAUGUUUUUGAAAUGGAUUUAUUUUAAAUCGAUACCUUCAGUCUUUUUAAUGCAAGUGCUCUAAACUGUGUUUCUCCUUCAUAUCUAAGAAUUGUGUUUCUUCAUUGAUUUGUGCAGUGUUUAACAAUCAGUGUGUACAAAAUUGCUCUUCUUGCUUGUGUAUUAGUUACUCCCAUGUCUUGCCAGGAAACAUCAAGCUUUUUCACUCUUGCUGAAAGUAUGAGCUGCUGAUGGUCUUCCUUCUAUAUGUAUCCCCAAGAUACUGACUGGACCUAUCAAUAUGUGCUUUUCAGCGAUGUUACAUUUGCCAAAAAAACCCACCACUACGCAACCAAACUUUGAAAAUAAUAAAUGUUUUAUUGUUCUUUUUGAAAUGGAUAUUUUUAGAGAUAAUUGUCUGUCCUUGAGAACCCAAAAUAACUGUUUGGCCAGGACUCUAACUUCAGUGUUUAGCAUCCCUGUUCCCAUAAAUUUAAACUCAGUUUGUGAAAUCUCUUCAGUAUUUAAGUACAAUAUAAACACCAACCUCAUCUUAUAGGCAUACAUUAAGCUUCGCGUGAUUAUUUGUGUGAAGAACACCUCUAGAAGAUUUAAUUAGUAUUGGUUGUAGUAAUUAGCUUUCAGUUUCCAAGAGAUUGAUAGCUGUGAGUAUAAAAUGUUACUGAAAAAAGGGAGCAUUGGAGAAAACAGUGGUUUUCAAAUAAUUUUCAGAAAGAAGAUACACAGUUACAGACUGUCCCCAAAGCUUUUUCUAAAAAAAGAGCAGUUUCUCUUGAUACUGUAUUUUGCUACGUGAUGGGUUAGUACUGCAAAUAAAUGUCAAAAGGAUGUCAGAAAGUUUAAACAGUAAUAUGUAUUUUUUUACUUAUUUUAAUAAGUAGUUUCUGUUUUGAUUCCAUUGAAAAUGCGUAGAAUAAAAGGGAUGUUGGAUAUGUAAAAAGUUGUUUACGUGUAUAAAGUAAUUAUGUAAGGUAUUAUAAGACCUGAUAUGUGCAAGAAUUGAAUUUAUGCAUUGCUACCUAAGAGAGGAUUUAGAAACUGUGCCUGUUUUAUUGCCUUUAACACUACACUGCUAUUUUGUAGGGAUAUGGAUAUUGCCAUAUUAGUCUGCUUUUCCUAAAUUUGCAUAUCAAAUGUAUUUUUAACAAAAUAGUUUAUAUACAACUUUUAUACUACCAAGCAGUAAAUAAAAAAUAUUGAUUCUUAA